rnacentral:rRNA from 1 species
UACAGAGACUGCAAGCGUUAUUCGGAUUCACUGGGCGUAAAGGGUGCGCAGGCGGUUGGGUGUGUCAGAUGUGAAAUCCCGAGGCUUAACCUCGGAACUGCGUCUGAAACUACUCGACUAGAGUAUUGGAGAGGGUAACGGAAUUCACGGUGUAGCAGUGAAAUGCGUAGAUAUCGUGAGGAACACCAGAGGCGAAGGCGGUUACCUGGACGAAUUACUGACGCUCAGGCACGAAAGCAUGGGGAGCAAAAGGG